rnacentral:rRNA from 1 species
UUUUUGGAGAGUUUGAUUCUGGCUCAGAACGAACGUUGGCGGCGUGGAUAAGGCAUGCAAGUCGAACGAUCUUUUCAGGUCUCGAGGUCGCAAGGCCAAGAGACUUGAUUUGAUAGUGGCAAAAGGGUGAGUAACACGUGGGUAAUCUACCUUCGAGUCUGGGAUAAUCCGCCGAAAGGCGGACUAAUACCGGAUAAGACCACAACUACUUCGGUAGAUGUGGUAAAAGAUGGGGAUCGCAAGACCUAUCACUUGAAGAUGAGCCCGCGUCCUAUCAGCUUGUUGGCGGGGUAAUGGCCCACCAAGGCGACGACGGGUAGCUGGUCUGAGAGGAUGGUCAGCCACACUGGGACUGAGACACUGCCCAGACUCCUACGGGAGGCUGCAGUCGAGGAUCUUUUGCAAUGCCCGAAAGGGUGACAAUGCGACGCCGCGUGUGUGAUGAAGGUUUUCG